AUCCUCAUAACAUAUUCAAAAGUAUUAGCAUACAUUCAAGUUUGAAUGUGAUUGUUUGUAAAUACUUUGAUGUAGAACUUCUUUUUCUUUUUACUUCUUUGUUGUUUUAGAAGGCAAUUGUAAGAGGCUAGCUGAAUCCAGAUUUCAAACCUAUCUGUACUCUGCAUUUUUGUGGCUGAAAAAGAAGUUUAACUACCUAGAUGAAGAUGAUGUAUUCCACUAAGUAUUUGAAGACUAUUCUCUUCAUGCUAAGAAACCAUAAUAUUUUUUCCUGUGGGCGAUGUCAUCAAGGGAAAGCAUCAAUCUCACUAGCAGAAGAGCUAGAAUGUCAACAUUUGGAGUCCACAGCCACAUAUUUUUGCUGCUAUGACACAACCCAUCUGGAAAUCGGGUUGCACAGCAACAUAACAAGGGAAGUAUUUGUAAGAAGCAUUCAUCCAGAAGAUAGCUCCUUUCAGAACUUUGAUCAUCCUUCAGGCCAUAGGGCAGCUCUGCUUUCUUUGCUACCAUCCGAAGUGUAA
rnacentral:lncRNA from 1 species